rnacentral:rRNA from 1 species
UACGAAAGGGGCUAGCGUUGUUCGGAAUUACUGGGCGUAAAGCGCACGUAGGCGGCUUGGUAAGUUGGGGGUGAAAUCCCAGGGCUCAACCCUGGAACUGCCUCCAAAACUGCUAGGCUAGAGGAUGCGAGAGGUUGGCGGAAUUCCGAGUGUAGAGGUGAAAUUCGUAGAUAUUCGGAAGAACACCAGUGGCGAAGGCGGCCAACUGGCGCAUUUCUGACGCUGAGGUGCGAAAGCGUGGGGAGCAAACAGG